UCCUCCUUAGCUCAGUUGGUUAGAGCAUCUGACUGUUAAUCAGAGGGUC
rnacentral:tRNA from 1 species